rnacentral:rRNA from 1 species
CGACCGGCGCACGGGUGCGUAACGCGUAUGCAACCUACCUGUAAUUAGGGGAUAACCCGGUGAAAGUCGGACUAAUACCCUAUAUUCUUCUUUAUUCGCAUGGAUAUGGACGGAAAGAUUAAUUGAUUACAGAUGGGCAUGCGUCCCAUUAGCUGGUUGGUAAGGUAACGGCUUACCAAGGCAACGAUGGGUAGGGGGACUGAGAGGUUGACCCCCCACACUGGUACUGAGACACGGACCAGACUCCUACGGGAGGCAGCAGUGAGGAAUAUUGGUCAAUGGGCGAGAGCCUGAACCAGCCAAGUCGCGUGAAGGAAGACGGUUCUAUGGAUUGUAAACUUCUUUUGUAGAGGAAUAAUGGCGGUUACGCGUAACCGAGAUGCAAGUACUCUACGAAUAAGCAUCGGCUAACUCCGUGCCAGCAGCCGCGGUAAUACGGAGGAUGCGAGCGUUAUCCGGACUUAUUGGGUUUAAAGGGUGCGUAGGUGGCUUGUUAAGUCAGUGGUGAAAAGCUGCAGCUCAACUGUAGUCUUGCCGUUGAAACUGACGGGCUAGAGAGGAAACGAGGUAUGCGGAAUGUGUGGUGUAGCGGUGAAAUGCAUAGAUAUCACACAGAACGCCGAUUGCGAAGGCAGCGUACCAGGCUCUAUCUGACACUGAAGCACGAAAGCGUGGGGAUCAAACAGGAUUAGAUACCCUGGUAGUCCACGCAGUGAACGAUGAAUACUAGAUUUUUGCGAUAUAAUGUAAGAGUCUAAGCGAAAGCGAUAAGUAUUCCACCUGGGGAGUACGCCGGCAACGGUGAAACUCAAAGGAUUGACGGG